GCCACCUUCCAGUAAUUCACCAAAAUGACGAACACAAAGGGAAAAAGGAGAGGCACCCGAUACAUGUUCUCUAGGCCUUUUAGAAAGCACGGAAAUGGGUACUGUUCAAAAAGGCAUGCCACACAAAUGUUACCAUGGCAAAACUGGAAGGGUCUACAAUGUUACCCAGCAUGCUGUUGGCAUUGUUGUAAACAAACAAGUUAAGGGCAAGAUUCUUGCCAAGAGGAUUAAUGUUCGUAUUGAGCAUAUUAAGCACUCUAAGAGCUGAGACAGCUUCCUGAAAUGUGUGAAGGAAAAUGAUCAGAAAAA